CCUACGGGAGGCAGCAGUGGGGAAUUUUCCGCAAUGGGCGAAAGCCUGACGGAGCAACGCCGCGUGAAUGAAGAAGGCCUUCGGGUCGUAAAGUUCUGUCAUAAGGGAAGAAAGUGCCAUAUGUAAAUAAUGUAUGGUAUUGACGGUACCUUAGGAGGAAGCCACGGCUAACUACGUGCCAGCAGCCGCGGUAAUACGUAGGUGGCGAGCGUUGUCCGGAAUUACUGGGCGUAAAGGGCGCGUAGGCGGGAAUACAAGUCAGAUGUGAAAACUCCGGGCUUAACUUGGAGACUGCAUUUGAAACUGUAUUUCUUGAGGACAGGAGAGGAAAGCGGAAUUCCUAGUGUAGCGGUGAAAUGCGUAGAUAUUAGGAGGAACACCAGUGGCGAAGGCGGCUUUCUGGACUGUAACUGACGCUGAGGCGCGAAAGCGUGGGGAG
rnacentral:rRNA from 1 species